GUGUCCACUUCAGCAGCACAUAUACCGAAGCUGGAACAAUGCAGAGAUUAGCAUGGCCCCUGUACAAGAAUGACACGCAAAUUGGUUAAAUGUUCCAUAUUUAA